rnacentral:rRNA from 1 species
UUAAGCUAUAAAGAGCACAGGGUGGAUGCCUAGGCACUGAGAGCCGAUGAAGGACGUGAUAAGCUGCGAAAAGCCACGGGGAGGAGCAAAUAUCCUUUGAGCCGUGGAUAUCCGAAUGGGGGAACCCACUUAAGUAAACCUUAAGUACUGACAAGCCAAUACAUAACUUGCCAGAGGGAACCCGGGGAACUGAAACAUCUAAGUACCCGGAGGAAGAGAAAGAAACAUCGAUUUCCUUAGUAGCGGCGAGCGAAAGGGAAAGAGCCCAAACCGAGAGAUUUAUCUUUCGGGGUUAGGACUGCAUAAUUGAUCUGCGAUUGAUAGGAGAAUGGUCUGGGAAGUCCAGCAGGAAAGCGUGAAAGCCGCGUAUCCGAAAUUGAAAGCAGCAAGGCAGUAUCCAGAGUACCACGAGACACGAGGAACCUUGUGGGAAUGAGCGGAGACCACUCCGUAAGGCUAAAUACUACUCAGUGACCGAUAGCGCAUAGUACUGUGAAGGAAAGGUGAAAAGGACCCCGGGAGGGGAGUGAAAGAGAACCUGAAACCCUGUGUUUACAAGCUGUCGGAGCACGAUAAGUGCGACGGCGUACUUUUUGUAGAACGGUCCGGCGAGUUAUGAUACGCGGUAAGGUUAAGGACUUAAGGUCCGGAGCCGAAGCGAAAGCGAGUGUUAAGAGCACGAGGAAUCACGUAUCAUAGACCCGAAACCGGGUGAUCUAUCCAUGUCCAGGAUGAAGCUGCCGUAAGAGGUAGUGGAGGUCCGAACACACAUCCGUUGAAAAGGGUGGUGAUGAGGUGUGGAUAGGGGAGAAAUUCCAAUCGAACCCGGAGAUAGCUGGUUCUCCUCGAAAUAGCUUUAGGGCUAGCCUUCAGUUAGUCUGCCGCAGGUAGAGCACUGAAUUUCCUAGGGGGCGUCAAAGCCUACCGAAGAAUAUCAAACUGCGAAUGGCGGACAGAUGAUGCUGGGGAGUCAGACUGCACGAGAUAAGUUGGGUGGUCAAAAGGGAAAGAGCCCAGACCUACAGCUAAGGUCCCAAAGUGCGUGUUAAGUGGAAAAGGAUGUGGGAUUUCGAAGACAACUAGGAUGUUGGCUCAGAAGCAGCCACACAUUAAAAGAGUGCGUAAUAGCUCACUAGUCGAGAGGUCCUGCGCCGAAAAUGUCCGGGGCUGAAACACGACACCGAAGCUUAGGAACAGAAAUGUUGGUAGAGGAGCAUUGUUAGCGGAACGAAGCCAUACCGGAAGGAGUGGUGGACUGCUAAGAAGAGAGAAUGCCGGAAUGAGUAGCGAGAUUGAAGUGAGAAUCUUCAAGGCCGAAUAUCUAAGGUUUCCAGGGUAAAGCUGAUCUGCCCUGGGUAAGUCGGGGCCUAAGGCGAGGUCGAAAGACGUAGCCGAUGGACAACAGGUUGAAAUUCCUGUACUGCGAUAUAUCAGAAAUGUGGGGACACAGAAGGAAAGUGUGAGCCGGGAAAGGAAAGACCGGUGCAAGCACAGGAGGAGAGAUACAGGCAAAUCCGUAUUUCAAUCCAAUGGUGUUACGCGGAGCGAACAAAAGUAGCGAAGCACACAGACCAUCUGUCGAGAAAAGCCGCUAUUGUGUAUACCGUACCCGUACCGUAAACCGACACAGGUGGAUGAGGAGAGAAUCCUAAGGCCGGCGGGAGAAGCAUUGUUAAGGAACUCGGCAAAAUGACCCCGUAACUUCGGGAGAAGGGGUGCUCACGCAAGUGAGCCGCAGAGAACUGGCCCAAGCAACUGUUUAGCAAAAACACAGGUCUAUGCAAAACCGAAAGGUGAGGUAUAUGGGCUGACGCCUGCCCGGUGCUGGAAGGUUAAGAGGAGAUGUUAGAGCAAUCGAAGCAUUGAAUUUAAGCCCCAGUAAACGGCGGCCGUAACUAUAACGGUCCUAAGGUAGCGAAAUUCCUUGUCGGGUAAGUUCCGACCCGC